CCUACGGGAGGCAGCAGUGGGGAAUUUUGGACAAUGGGCGAAAGCCUGAUCCAGCAAUGCCGCGUGCAGGAUGAAGGCCCUCGGGUUGUAAACUGCUUUUGUACGGAACGAAAAGCUCUGGGCUAAUAUCCCGGAGUCAUGACGGUAC
rnacentral:rRNA from 1 species